rnacentral:rRNA from 1 species
GAUGAACGCUGGCGGCGUGCCUAAUACAUGCAAGUAGAACGCUGAAGGAGGAGCUUGCUCUUCUGGAUGAGUUGCGAACGGGUGAGUAACGCGUAGGUAACCUGCCUGGUAGCGGGGGAUAACUAUUGGAAACGAUAGCUAAUACCGCAUGACAACAGUUAUUGCAUGAUAACUGUUUAAAAGGGGCAACUGCUCCACUACCAGAUGGACCUGCGUUGUAUUAGCUAGUUGGUGAGGUAACGGCUCACCAAGGCGACGAUACAUAGCCGACCUGAGAGGGUGAUCGGCCACACUGGGACUGAGACACGGCCCAGACUCCUACGGGAGGCAGCAGUAGGGAAUCUUCGGCAAUGGACGGAAGUCUGACCGAGUAACGCCGCGUGAGUGAAGAAGGUUUUCGGAUCGUAAAGCUCUGUUGUAAGAGAAGAACGAGUGUGAGAGUGGAAAGUUCACACUGUGACGGUAUCUUACCAGAAAGGGACGGCUAACUACGUG